rnacentral:rRNA from 1 species
AUUGAACGCUGGCGGCAGGCCUAACACAUGCAAGUCGAGCGGAUGAAGGGAGCUUGCUCCUGGAUUCAGCGGCGGACGGGUGAGUAAUGCCUAGGAAUCUGCCUGGUAGUGGGGGAUAACGUCCGGAAACGGGCGCUAAUACCGCAUACGUCCUGAGGGAGAAAGUGGGGGAUCUUCGGACCUCACGCUAUCAGAUGAGCCUAGGUCGGAUUAGCUAGUUGGUGGGGUAAAGGCCUACCAAGGCGACGAUCCGUAACUGGUCUGAGAGGAUGAUCAGUCACACUGGAACUGAGACACGGUCCAGACUCCUACGGGAGGCAGCAGUGGGGAAUAUUGGACAAUGGGCGCAAGCCUGAUCCAGCCAUGCCGCGUGUGUGAAGAAGGUCUUCGGAUUGUAAAGCCCUUUAAGUUGGGAGGAAGGGCAGUAAGUUAAUACCUUGCUGUUUUGACGUUACCAACAGAAUAAGCACCGGCUAACUUCGUG